AACUUUUAGUUAGAGUUUGAUCCUAGCUCAGGAUGAACGCUGGCGGCGUGGAUAAGGCAUGCAAGUCGAACGGACUUUCUAAAAUCCGAGAUGCGAUUAUAUCAAGUCAAAGGUCGUAGAAAGUUAGUGGCGAACGAGGUAGUAAUACAUAGGAACUUCCCCAAGAGUCGUGAAUAAUUCGUCGAAAGACGAACUAAUACACGAUGGUCUCGUAAGAGUAAAGUUUUAACGCUCUUGGAAAGGCCUGUGCGAUAUCAGCUAGUUGGUAGUGUAAUGGACUACCAAGGCUAUGACGUCUAGGGGAGCUGAGAGGCUGACCCCCACCGAUGGUACUGAGACACGGACCAUACACCUACGGGUGGCUGCAGUCG
rnacentral:rRNA from 1 species